rnacentral:lncRNA from 1 species
GUCUAAAUUGGAAUUUAUGUGGUAUCAAUGACAUCUUUCUUUAAAUUGGAAUGGCUAAAUAUAUAUACAGACCCCUCAACUAUUCGACUUUUUCCAUACAGGCACCUUCAUUAAGCCAUGUACCUAUUGAACCCUUUACUCCUUCAUAAAAUGUGUCAAUUGAGCCCAAUUGCUGACAUGACUCUGACAUGACAUGGCAUGUGUAAUACACUCUCUAUAAGGAGAGUGAGAAACCAUAAUUAAUCAAAAAAAUAAACAUAAAAAACCCCAACCAAUCAAAAUAAAAAACAAAUUAACGAAAUAAAAAAAAUUAGUCAUCUUCUUCUUCUUCAUAUCUUCUUCUCCAUUGUAUCUUGUCAAGCCUCCACCAUCUUCCUCUUCCAUAAAUCUUUAACGAGUACAGCACAAAUUACUAUUAGGAAACGGCUACUCAAAGUAAACAGAAUGCAUUUAAUGGAAACAAAAUACUAAAAAUUAUAAAAUCAAAGUAGAAGAUUAACAUGCGGGAAACCUGAUGCUAGUAGAGUAAGAUGAACCUUGAUUUUCAGAAAGUGGCUUCGAAGACAUUAUUUUUGCAAUAAUUAAUCUGGUAAUUGAGAUUAAUGGUAAUUGAAGCUUCAAUUAAGCUAGAUUGAGAUUACUGGUUUUCCUAACACGAAGCUUCAACAAAAUCAUUAAACUCAACAUAACAUUAUUAAUUCCCUUGAUUUUUAAUAGACCUGAUUUGUCCUCAUCCUCUUAGCCGCGUUCAAUUAGAGAAUUUGGUGUGUCAGAAAAAAAAAAUGAACCAACCAUCAAGAUCAACGCGGGUACAAGUUUUUACAUAACAGCCCUAUCCUAUCACAGCUACUAACAACUCUUUCAUGAGGGUAAUGUCAUGACUCACGAAGAAAAAAACUCUAUACUUCUAUUCUAAUUCCAUCAAACCGAAUUCAUAAUUUCAUUCUAAUUCCUUCAGAACAACAAGUAACAACAACUAGCAAAUUGCCCAAUUAUUUAAGAAAUUUAUUAAAUUUUAAAUUCAAUCAAUUAAAAAAAAUGCAAAGAUCACACCAAUCACUGCAUCUUCUCUGUUCUACAUUUCCGUUGACAGUUCAAUUAACAUCCACUAAGUUUGUUAUACCUAUGAGUUAUAGUCAUUUAAUUGUUAAAUCAUUUAGGAAAAGUACAUAAAUAACAAGCGAUUAGGUUAAUUGAAAAAGGAAGGCAUAAAUUAACUUUACCUAAUCAGAAUCCGGGAGGAUCCGAUCCACAAUCCACCAUUGAUGAUGACUUAUUCAGGGACUAGAGCAAAAUGGAGAAUGUUCAUAAGUGAAGGGUGGUGGUGGAGG